AUCAAGUGUCUCGAGUCAUUCU
rnacentral:siRNA from 1 species